rnacentral:rRNA from 2 species
UAGCCAAGCCUUAUCCUGAAUUUACUGGAAAUAAAGCGAGCGCAGGCGGUUUUUGUAAGUCUGAAGAGAAAGCCGUCGGACUUAACCGAGGAAGCGCAUCGGAAACUGGGAAACUUGAGUGCAGAAGAGGACAGUGGAACUCCAUGUGUAGCGGUGAAAUGCGUAGAUAUAUGGAAGAACACCAGUGGCGAAGGCGGCUGUCUGGUCUGUAACUGACGCUGAGGCUCGAAAGCAUGGGUAGCGAACAGGAUUAGAUACCCUGGUAGUCCAUGCCGUAAACGAUGAAUGCUAGGUGUUGGAGGGUUUCCGCCCUUCAGUGCCGCAGCUAACGCAUUAAGCAUUCCGCCUGGGGAGUACGACCGCAAGGUUGAAACUCAAAGGAAUUGACGGGGGCCCGCACAAGCGGUGGAGCAUGUGGUUUAAUUCGAAGCAACGCGAAGAACCUUACCAGGUCUUGACAUCUUUUGAUCACCUGAGAGAUCAGGUUUCCCCUUCGGGGGCAAAAUGACAGGUGGUGCAUGGUUGUCGUCAGCUCGUGUCGUGAGAUGUUGGGUUAAGUCCCGCAACGAGCGCAACCCUUAUGACUAGUUGCCAGCAUUUAGUUGGGCACUCUAGUAAGACUGCCGGUGACAAACCGGAGGAAGGUGGGGAUGACGUCAAAUCAUCAUGCCCCUUAUGACCUGGGCUACACACGUGCUACAAUGGAUGGUACAACGAGUUGCGAGACCGCGAGGUCAAGCUAAUCUCUUAAAGCCAUUCUCAGUUCGGACUGUAGGCUGCAACUCGCCUACACGAAGUCGGAAUCGCUAGUAAUCGCGGAUCAGCACGCCGCGGUGAAUACGUUCCCGGGCCUUGUACACACCGCCCGUCACACCAUGAGAGUUUGUAACACCCGAAGCCGGUGGCGUAACCCUUUUAGGGAGCGAGCCGUCUAAGGGACAAAAGAUGGU